GCAUUGCUUGCUUGGUAGAAGGCGAGACUCUGAAUCUCAGGGUUGUGGGUUCGAGCCCCACAUCAGGCA